UUUCGCAAUGCCCGAAAGGGUGACGAAGCGACGCCGCGUGCGGGAAGAAGGCCUUCGGGUUGUAAACCGCUGUCGGGAGUUAAGAAAUGUAAGGAUGUUAAUAGCAUCUUUGCUUGACUAAGGCUCCGGAGGAAGCCACGGCUAACUCUGUGCCAGCAGCCGCGGUAAUACAGAGGCGGCAAGCGUUGUUCGGAAUUAUUGGGCGUAAAGAGCACGUAGGCGGCUAUGUAAGCCGGUUGUGAAAGCCUUCCGCUCAACGGGAGAACAGCAUCCGAUACUGCAUGGCUUGAGUGCGGGAGGGGAGAGUGGAACUUCUGGUGGAGCGGUGAAAUGCGUAGAUAUCAGAAGGAACGCCGGGGCGAAAGCGGCUCUCUGGCCCAUAACUGACGCUGAGUGUGCGAAAGCUAGGGGAGCAAACGGGAUUAGAUACCCCGGUAGUCCUAGCCGUAAACGAUGGGCACUAAGUAGAGGGGUUUU
rnacentral:rRNA from 1 species